rnacentral:rRNA from 1 species
AAGCUCGUAGUUGAAUUUCGGGGUUAGUAGGUUGGUCAUGCCUCUGGUAUGUACUGGUCUCACUGAUUCCUCCUUCCUUAUGAACCGUAAUGCCAUUAAUUUGGUGUUGCGGGGAAUUUGGACUGUUACUUUGAAAAAAUUAGAGUGUUUAAAGCAAGCUAACGCUUGAAUACAUUAGCAUGGAAUAAUGAAAUAGGACGUUCGAUCUUAUUUUGUUGGUUUCUAGGAUUGACGUAAUGAUUAAUAGGGAUAGUUGGG